CUCAUCCUUAUGGGAGGGGAUUAUAUCCUUCGUUAUUAGUCCGGCGAGUUAAACAAAACCCCAAGAAUGAAAAACUAACAUAUUUGGCAUCAUAUGAAGUUUUAGAGAUUCUAAUAACACCUUACAGUAAAAUCCCCAGAGAUGAAUGACGUGUUGGUUCAAGACUGGUCCGAAAUACUCAAGAGAAGUUUUCAACUUGACUUUGAGGACGGACAUAAGCCCUCCUGGUUGAACGGGAAAGAAAUUGUAUGGUACACAUUGCGCAUUUUCUGUCCUCCUUUCAGUGUGAUGUCUAUUCAUAAGCCUCAGGCCCCAACACCAGAACUCUGCCAUGCCCCCCCCCCCCCCCCGCCUCCUCGAUUUGCAAGGAUUGCCCUCUCCGCCCCGCAUCUCUCUCUCUCUCUCUCACACACACACACACACGCUCAUAUUUAUAUUUAUAUGCGAGGGUUUCAGAUCCCAAUCAGGGAUUGAGAUCUCAUAAAGGAAUCGCAACUAUGGGUCUAACGGUGGCGAGGGUUUCUCAUGGACGGGAGUGGGGUGGGGGCGUUUAGGGUUUAUGGCGAACGGGAGGCAGAGAAAGGGAGUGAGGCGGCGGGAUGUGGGGUGGCGGCUCGCAUCGGAGAGCGUUCUUAGGGUGGUGGGAAACGGUACGGGCAGGGCGGCGGUGGUAGCUAGGUGGCAGAUGGGGUUUGGGCUUGGGCUUGGACUUGGGCUUGGGUUAUGAAAGUUGACGGUCAGCCGGUUGGGCCAAUUUUGGGGUUUUGAAAGUGUACUGUGAAGAUAUAAGCGUGGACCGUGGUGAUUUUAUUUCAACCCAAGAAAUUUCUCACUACCUCUAUUUUCUCUUGGUAAACUUCACCGAGGAAAGUUUUUAAAUUAGCAUUAAUAUAUUUUUUUAAAAUUAUUAUUAAUAUUUUUUUUGAGCUAAUUUUUUGAACAAAAACUAUAAGACCAUCCUUAUUUUUAGAGUUUUUCUAUGUCAUUCUUGGCUCAAUAAUGUGAUAAGAAUGUUUAUACAUUUUAUAGAGAUCAUCGAGUAGAAAAGCUAUGUAAAAAAUUAGAUUGAUCAACAUCGGUUGAUAAUCACAUAUUUGAUCUCAAUUGCUAGAAAUUAUACUUAUUGCCCAUUUUUUAAGAAAAAUAUAUAAGAGCCGAAAGGUUGCAAUAACAUAAUUUGUACCAACAAGUUUCCACAUUGCGCUCGUAGUAAGUUUGUACAACCACCACCCUAAAUCCAUCUCUGGCCAAGGAAAAUUAUAGUGCCUUGAUUAAGCGCUUUAUAUUCUAAGGAAGAAAGAAUUUUUGGCUUAAUUUUUAAAAUUAAUUUUGCAAAAAAAGUUUUAACAAAUUUGUUUAGUUGAUAAUUUUUGAAAUUUAUUUUAAAAAAAUAUUAAAAAGAUGUCUUAUAAUUCUCAAAAGUUAUUUUUGUUAAAAAUUAAUACAUAAAAAAUAAUGAAUGUUUUUUCCCUCAAAAAUAAUUUCUUUUUUGCGCCAUGCAUAAGAUAGAUAAAAUAGAAUCAUAAUUAAUUGAUUAUAUGGAAAAAUUAACGAAAACAAUAUUGAAUUUUAAAUAAAAAUCAAUUUAAAAUUAAGUUGUAUUUAAUUACGUGCUUUAAUUGAUAAGAAAUGUUUUUUUUGUAUUUUGAUGUGUAGAUGGGAGUGGUGGAGGGACAGAAACGCAUCCUAUUUGGUACCCCAUGACAAAUUCCUAAAUUUUUCCCUAAUGGGUCCGUUUGUAGUAAUGUUUUUUUAUAGCUUUUUAGGUUUUCAUGUUUUUUUGUUUUUAGUGAAUUUUUUUUACUAUUUGAUCAAAAAUUUAUAUUUUUUUAAUUUCUCAAGACGAGAAGACUUCAAAAACAUAAUUUGUUUUUAUUUAAUUUAAAAAAAAAAUCACUAAAGGUAAAAAGAAACGACUUUAAGAUGAUCUUUUUGGUUAAAAAUAGUUUUUUUUUCCCUCCUUCAUGCACUAAUGCCCCUAAAUUUGAUAGUGACACUAGAGGACGUCCAAUAAGGGUCCAUUAAGAUGGAGAUUGAGAACACUAGGGGUCCGAUUGACAAUUGAUAUAUUGAGACCAUAAAGGCACCAAGCAAAAUCAGCAGAUGUAUAGGGACCAAAAGUAUAAUUAGUCUGAAGUUAUAAUACAAUAAAUGGUCCUUUUAUGCAUUUUAUAUCACUUUUGUCUUCCAAAUUUUAAUUUUUCCAAUUUUAUCCUUGAAAUUUAUUAUCCAAUUUCAAAACCUAUUCAAAAAUAUAAAUUUCUGAUCCAAUUUCAAACCCUAGUCAAUAUUAUAUAUGGCUUCAGUAAUUGUGAAAAUGGCUUUAGCAUAGAUGCCUAUUAAAGAAAAAAAUAACUUUAACAAGUUAAAGGAGAAAUUAUGAUCCCAAGAAAGAAAAAACCAUUAGGUGAUGGAUAAGUUGUGACCAAAAUAUAGCCAAUUAUCAGUUAUCAUGUCAGCAAGUGACCAAAUACAAGUUAAAGGAGAAAUUAUGAUCCCA
rnacentral:lncRNA from 1 species